GCAUAUCAAUAAGCGGAGGAAAAGAAACUAACAAGGAUUCCCUUAGUAACGGCGAGUGAAGCGGGAAUAGCUCAAAUUUGAAAGCUGGCAGCAAUGUCCGCGUUGUAAUCUCGAGAAGUGUUUUCCGUGCUGGACCAUAGAUAUGUUCCUUGGAAUAGGAUGUCAUAGAGGGUGAGAACCCCGUACAUGCUAUGGACGCCCAGUGCUUUGUGAUACACUUUCGAAGAGUCGAGUUGUUUGGGAAUGCAGCUCAAAAUGGGUGGUAAAUUCCAUCUAAAGCUAAAUAUUGGGGAGAGACCGAUAGCAAACAAGUACCGUGAGGGAAAGAUGAAAAGCACUUUGGAAAGAGAGUUAAACAGUACGUGAAAUUGUCAAAAGGGAAGCGCUUCAAGUCAGAUAUGGCUUUGAAUGUUCAGCCUUUAGGUGUAUUCAUUUUUUGUCAGGCCAGCAUCGAUUUUGGACGUCGGAUAAGGGUAGAAGGAACGUGGCAUACUUUCGGGUAUGUGUUAUAGCCUUUUACUGGAUACGACGAUCGGGAUCGAGGUUCGCAGCACACCCUUUUUGGGCAGGUCUUCGGACACUUUUGUGCUUAGGAUGCUGGCGUAAUGGCUUGAAGCGACCCGUCUUGAAACACGGACC
rnacentral:rRNA from 1 species